AACACACUUCACCCAUGUAAAGAGGUGUCAGGCAAUGUUUUUGCCAAUAUAAAGUGGUUUUGAACUACAAGAAUAAUCACCCCUCUCUGUGCCGGAUCUCUGUUCAGCUCGCUGGAUUGUGUGUUCAAUAGAUGGAUUCUCUAUCUCUGGCAUAUUAGGGAGACCACCCCACAGACAUUCAACCUCCCCAUCUCUUUCCUCAGAGGGUUUGGACUCACCCACUGCCCUCCCCAGCUUCACACUUCCAACUUUUCCUCUACCUAUAACAUCGGUGGAAAGGAAGAGAGGAAGAGUGUGAGAUCUGAGAGGGUGGAGUGGGAGUAUUCACCACCUGAAAAUGGUUGUUCAGAACUCAGCAUGUCUCCUUGCUUCAAUGCUGCUUCUUUUUCUUCUUCCUGUGGCACAAUGUGGCGUGACCUAUGACAGGAAGGCCAUCAUCAUCAAUGGACAGAGGAGGAUCCUCAUCUCUGGCUCCAUUCACUACCCCAGGAGCACACCAGAAAUGUGGGAAGGGCUUAUUCAGAAGGCUAAGGAUGCGCACUUGGAUGUUAUACAGACCUAUGUCUUUUGGAAUGGACAUGAGCCUUCACCUGGCACCUACGAUUUUGAGGGGAGGUAUGAUUUGGUGAGGUUUAUCAAGACAGUCCAGAAUCUAGGGCUGUAUGUCCACCUUCGGAUUGGGCCUUAUGUUUGUGCAGAGUGGAAUUUUGGAGGAUUUCCAGUUUGGUUGAAGUAUGUUCCAGGAAUCAGCUUCAGAACAGAUAAUGAGCCUUUCAAGAUGGCUAUGCAAGGUUUCACCCAAAAAAUUGUUCAGAUGUUGAAGAGUGAAUCACUUUUUGCUUCCCAGGGUGGCCCAAUCAUCCUUUCACAGAUUGAGAAUGAGUACGGGCCCAUAAGUAGGGCAUCUGGGCCUGCUGGUCGUUCAUAUUUGAACUGGGCUGCAGAAAUGGCUGUCGGGUUAGAGACCGGCGUACCAUGGGUUAUGUGCAAGGAGGAUGAUGCCCCUGAUCCGGUGAUAAAUACAUGCAAUGGCUUCUACUGUGAUACUUUUACUCCCAAUAUGCCUUAUAAGCCUAUAAUGUGGACUGAAGCUUGGAGUGGCUGGUUUACGGAAUUUGGGAGCCCUAUCCAUCACCGACCAGUUGAAGACCUGGCAUUCGCUGUGGCACGCUUUAUACAAAAGGGUGGUUCAUUUAUCAAUUAUUACAUGUACCAUGGAGGAACUAAUUUUGGGCGUACAGCUGGAGGUCCCUUCAUCACAACCAGCUAUGAUUAUGAUGCUCCAAUUGAUGAAUAUGGAAUAUGCAUUGUUCAACUUUUUUGUCACCAAAUGGCUGGGCUGAUCAGAGAACCAAAAUACGGGCAUCUAAAAGAGCUUCAUAGGGCAAUUAAACUGUGUGAACAAGCUCUAGUUUCAGCUGAUCCAACAGUUACUUCUUUGGGAAGUCUCCAACAGGCUCAUGUCUUCAGUUCCCAGACUGGAGGUUGUGCAGCUUUCCUUGCAAACUACAACCCAGAUUCCUUCGCAAGGGUAAUGUUCAAUAACGUGCACUACAACAUACCACCUUGGUCAAUCAGCAUCUUACCUGACUGCAGUAAUGUAGUAUUCAACACUGCAAAAGUUGGUGUUCAAACAUCACAAAUGCAAAUGUACCCAGCUAAUACUCAGUCACUUAUGUGGGAGAGGUAUGAUGAGGUUGUCGCUUCAUUGGAAGAUAAUUCAUUGAUCACCACAACUGGGCUGUUGGAACAGAUAAAUGUUACCAGGGAUACAAGUGACUACUUGUGGUACAUUACUAGUGUUGAUGUCAGCCCAGCUGAAGGAUUUUUACAUGGAGGUCAGCUUCCUGUUCUUACUGUCCAGUCAGCUGGUCAUGCUCUGCAUAUCUUUCUUAAUGGACAGCUCUCAGGUUCUGCUUAUGGGAGCAGGGAAGAUAGGAGGAUAAAAUUUUCUGGUAAUGUCAACAUUCGUGCUGGAACUAACAAAAUUGCAAUUUUGAGUGUCGCCGUCGGACUGCCAGUGUGCAUUAUGAGUUCUGGAGCACUGGAGUCCUUGGUCCUGUGGUGCUACAUGGGCUUGAUGAAGGAAGUAGAGACUUAACAUGGCAGAAAUGGUCAUAUCAGGUUGGCCUAAAAGGAGAAGCUAUGAACCUAAAUUCUUUGGAGGGUGCUUCUUCUGUUGAAUGGAUGCAAGGGUCAUUAGCAGUUCAAGAUCAGCAACCAUUGACAUGGUAUAGGGCAUAUUUUGAUGCUCCUGAUGGGAAUGACCCAUUGGCUUUGGAUAUGGGUAGUAUGGGGAAGGGCCAGGUGUGGAUAAACGGACAAAGUAUUGGAAGAUACUGGACUGCCUAUGCCCCAAAUGGAGAUUGCAAUUCAUGCAGUUACAUAGGGACAUAUCGGUCUCCAAAAUGUCAGAGUAACUGCGGCCAACCAACCCAACGAUGGUAUCAUGUGCCGCGGUCUUGGUUACAACCCACAAGAAAUCUACUGGUAAUAUUUGAAGAGGUUGGAGGUGAUGCAACAAAGAUUUCCAUGAUGAAGAGAUCUGUUUCUAGUGUUUGUGCUGAUGUUUCUGAAUGGCAUCCCACAAUAAAGAAUUGGGACAUUGAGAGCGAUGGCCAACCUGAAGAGUACCACAAGCCAAAAGUACACCUGCGAUGCGCACCAGGACAAUCUAUAUCGGCCAUCAAAUUUGCCAGCUAUGGGACACCACUUGGAACAUGUGGAAAUUUCCAACAGGGAGCAUGUCAUUCGCCGAAUUCGUACACCAUCCUGGAAAAGAACUGCAUUGGACAAGAGAAAUGUGCAGUUGCCAUCUCCACCACCAACUUCGGCGGGGACCCAUGCCCAAAUGUCAUGAAAAGAGUUGCAGUAGAAGCUAUAUGCUCUUCAGCUGCUCAGCCAAUAUCAUGAGCAUCAUAGAGUGCAAUCGUGUGAACUUCUUAUUUGCUGCGAAAGAAUGACAAGAAACGUUCGGCAUAAUUGUAAAGUGCUUGCGUCGACCAAAAGUAGGUGUUUGUUUUUGGUGUGUGGGAGUUACAUGUAGAGUGAAAGGAAAAUAGUAUGUGUCAUGCAUUAUUCUUCUAACUUAUCUUUGAGUUUUGAGGUCUUCAUUGGUCCACCGAUGAUGCAUUAAUCAUAAGUUGGUGCCAGAAUGGAGAACAAGAGGAAAGCAAAGGAUAAUUGCUAAUUUGCUUUCAUAUAUGCUUCUUUUCUUUUGCUAUGGAAGGAUAUUGUAAUUUGAUACAGUUGUAUUUACUGCAUAAUUUUAAAUGCUGUCAUUGUUGUCA